GAUGAAGAACGUAGCGAAAUGCGAUACUUGGUGUGAAUUGCAGAAUCCCGUGAACCAUCGAGUCUUUGAACGCAAGUUGCGCCCGAAGCCGUCAGGCUGAGGGCACGCCUGCCUGGGCGUCACACGCCGUUGCCCCCCCCCGCGCCCCGCACCCAACUCUUUGGGAGCGACCGCGGGGCGGGCUGAUGAUGGCCUCCCGUGCGCUCCGCCGCGCGGUUGGCCCAAAUACCGAGUCCCCGGCGACGUGCGCCACGACGAUCGGUGGUUGAGAGACCUCUGUCGCAAGUCGUGCGCGCCCGUCGCGUCACGCGGGCUCGCAUAGCGCCUCGCGCCGCACCCGGUGCGGAGCUUUCAACGCGACCCCAGGUCAGGCGGGGUUACCCGCUGAAUUUAAGCAUAUCAAUAAGCGGAGGA
rnacentral:misc_RNA from 1 species